CCUACGGGAGGCAGCAGUGAGGAAUAUUGGUCAAUGGGCGCGAGCCUGAACCAGCCAAGUAGCGUGAAGGAUGACUGCCCUACGGGUGGUAAACUUCUUUUAUACAGGAAUACAGUGAGGCACGUGUGCCUUUUUGUAUGUACUUUAUGAAUAAGGAUAGGCUAACUCCGUGCCAGCAGCCGCGGUAAUACGGAGGAUCCGAGGGUUAUCCGGAUUUGUUGGGAUUAAAGGGAGCGUAGAUGGGUUGGUAAGUCAGUUGUGAAAGUUUGCGGCUCAACCGUAAAAUUGCAAUUGAUACUGGCAGUCUUGAGGACAGUUGAGGUAAGUGGAAUUCGUGGUGUAGCGGUGAAAU
rnacentral:rRNA from 1 species